rnacentral:ribozyme from 1 species
AUCUAACAAAAGCAAAACCUUUACGUGGUGUUAGAUAUAAGUAAUUCGAUUUGAAUGAAACCAAUUUGCU